UUGCUUCAGCAGCACAUAUACUAAAAUUGGAACGAUACAGAGAAGGUCGGCAUGGCCCCUGAGCAAGGACGACAUGCAAAUUCAUGAACCGUUACAUAUUUUU